AGCGAACGCUGGCGGCAGGCCUAACACAUGCAAGUCGAACGGACCCUUCGGGGUUAGUGGCGGACGGGUGAGUAACACGUGGGAACGUGCCCUUUGGUUCGGAACAACUCAGGGAAACUUGAGCUAAUACCGAAUGUGCCCUUCGGGGGAAAGAUUUAUCGCCAUUGGAGCGGCCCGCGUCUGAUUAGCUAGUUGGUGGGGUAAUGGCCUACCAAGGCGACGAUCAGUAGCUGGUCUGAGAGGAUGAUCAGCCACAUUGGGACUGAGACACGGCCCAAACUCCUACGGGAGGCAGCAGUGGGGAAUCUUGCGCAAUGGGCGAAAGCCUGACGCAGCCAUGCCGCGUGAAUGAUGAAGGUCUUAGGAUUGUAAAAUUCUUUCACCGGGGACGAUAAUGACGGUACCCGGAGAAGAAGCCCCGGCUAACUUCGUGCCAGCAGCCGCGGUAACAC
rnacentral:rRNA from 1 species